rnacentral:lncRNA from 1 species
ACUGUGUCGGUCACCAGCCGCCACGGAGUUCCUAAAUUUUUUUCCCCAAGCUCUCGCGCCGCUCUCACGCGAGCGGCUCGGGAGCGAAACCCUAGCCGCCCGCGCCGCCCCCUCCCAACGCCUCCAGCCACCUCGCCGCCGCCGGAGCCCGCCGCCGGAAACCGUGCGGCCGGCCGGGAAGGCGGCGGCGGGGAAAACGUGCCGGCGGCGGAGCACCCCCUCGGCGUGGGAGGCGGCGCGACGCACGCACGGCGGAAGGCGGCGGCCGGAGCGGCCGGCGGGGCGGAUCCGGUCGGCGGAUCCGGUCGCGCCGGACGCGGAUCCGGCCUCCCCGAUGGAGGAUCUGGCCCCCCGCCGGCCAGAUCUGGAGAGGGGCGGCGGCGGCGCGGCAAGACGGCGGGCGGCCUCGAGCUCGCGGCGACGGCGAUGCGGCAAGUCGGCGGGCGGCCCGAGCUCGCGGCGACGGCGGGCGGCCUCGAGCUCUCGACGACGGCGGCGCGGCAAGACGGCGGGCGACCUCCAGCGGGGGCGCGACUCGGCGGAACAGCUCGCGGCGGCGGCGGCAACGCGGCUCGGAGGAGCAGCCCGGCCGGCACGCAGCGGAGGCUGACCGGCCAGACGGCUGCUGGUGACGGCGGCGACAAUCGUGCCCGCCGUGGUGCUCGUGGCAGUUGGCAGCGUCGUCGGCUGGCAACGGUGGCGUCGAGUUGGCUGCUUGGUGGCGGAGGACGACGGCGCAACGGUUUGCGGAGGCGGAGGCUGGCAUCGAUGGCAGUGGCGACGGCGGCCGUGGCUGUGGACGGUGGCGACGUCGGCGGAUGCGGGUUGCUAGCGAGGUGGCUGGGCGUUCGGCAGCAGCGGCUGCGGUGGCGGUGACCGUGUCUGC